rnacentral:rRNA from 1 species
GACGAACGCUGGCGGCGUGCUUAACACAUGCAAGUCGAACGAAGUGGCGAACGGGUGAGUAACGCGUAAUCAACCUGCCCUUCAGAGGGAGACCACAGUUGGAAACGACUGCUAAUACCGCAUACUGAAGGAGGGGAUUGCGUCUGAUUAGCUAGUUGGAGGGGUAACGGCCCACCAAGGCGAUGAUCAGUAGCCGGUCUGAGAGGAUGGGCGGCCGCAUUGAGACUGAGACACGGCCCAGACUUCUACGGGAGGCAGCAGUGGGGAUACGUCCGCAAUGGACGGAAGAUGGAGGGAGCAGCGCCGCCGAGGUGGUGACGGCCUUCGGGUGGUAGAGCUCGGUUAAGCGGGACGCGGUACAGGAAUAGAAAGCCACGGCUAACUACGUGCCAGCAGCCGCGGUAAUAC